AUUGAACGCUGGCGGCAGGCCUAACACAUGCAAGUCGAGCGGUAGAGAGGUGCUUGCAUCUCUUGAGAGCGGCGGACGGGUGAGUAAUGCCUAGGAAUCUGCCCUAGUGGUGGGGGAUAACGUUCGGAAACGGACGCUAAUACCGCAUACGUCCUACGGGAGAAAGCGGGGAUCUUCGGACCUCGCGCCAUUAGAUGAGCCUAGGUCGGAUUAGCUAGUUGGUGAGGUAAUGGCUCACCAAGGCGACGAUCCGUAACUGGUCUGAGAGGAUGAUCAGUCACACUGGAACUGAGACACGGUCCCAGACUCCUACGGGAGGCAGCAGUGGGGAAUAUUGGACAAUGGGCGAAAGCCUGAGUCCAGCCA
rnacentral:rRNA from 1 species